rnacentral:ncRNA from 1 species
AAAGUUCUGCAGGCACAAAGGGUUUGGUCCUAGCCUUACUGUCAACUGUUACUCGACUUACACAUGCAAGUAUCCGCACACCCGUGAGAACGCCCUUUCAACCUUACUAGGAUAAGGAGCUGGUAUCAGGCACAGAACAUCUUGCCCAUAACACCUAGCUACGCCACGCCCUCAAGGGUUUACAGCAGUGAUAAACAUUGUUCAUAAGCGCCAGCUUGACCCAGUCAGAGUAAACAGAGCCGGCCAACCCGGUGCCAGCCGCCGCGGCUAUACCGUUGGGCCCAAGUUGACAAGCAUCGGCGUUAAGCGUGUUUAAAGUGCCCCCUAAUAUUAGAAUUAAACUUCAACCAAGUUGUGACACACUUGUUAUUAAGAAACCCAAAAACGAAAGUUAUUAUAACUAACCCACUUGAAUCCACGACAGCUAGGGCACAAACUGGGAUUAGGUACCCCACUAUGCCUAGCCGUAAAAUAUUAACUCACAUCAUAAACCGCCAGGGAAUUACGAGCCCAAGCUUAAAACCCAAAGGACUUGACGGUGUCCCACCCACCUAGAGGAGCCUGUUCUAUAAUCGAUUCCCCCCGAUAUACCUCACCACUUCUAGCCUCUCAGCCUGUAUACCUCCGUCGUAAGCUUACCAUAUGAACGUUGAAUUAGUGAGCUAAAAGAUUUAUCAUCAAUACGUCAGGUCAAGGUGCAGCCCACGAAGUGGCAAGCAAUGGGCUACAGUUUCUAACUUAGAACAAACGAAAGACUACAUGAAACACAGUCAUGAAGGCGGAUUUAGUAGUAAAAAGAAAAUAGAGUGUUCUUUUUAAUCAGGCGCUGGGACGCGUACACACCGCCCGUCACCCUCUUCAAACGCAAUCAUCAUGUUAAUAACACUAUACUGCAUUACAGAAGAGGUAAGUCGUAACACGGUAAGCGUACUGGAAAGUGCGCUUGGAUAA